GCCCUGGAUAGCUCAGUGAGUUAGAGCCCGGUGCUGGUCACGCCAAGGUUGCAGGUUCAAGCCCCGUAUGAGACA